UGGCAUGUGAGUGUUAAGAGAGUCAUCAUAUUCAUAUUGUCACUUCAAGUCUUACAUUAAACUAGCUAAGAGGAAAACCAACAACCUAUUAUUCCUCUUUCUUUUCCUCUCUACACGCCUAGCCUCUCUCUCUCCCCCCUUUCAUUUUUUUUAUUCUUUCUUUGCACCAUUUCAGCAAGAAAGCUCUCUCAUCUCACUAGAAAAUCUGAAAAAUAAAUCUCUCUCUCUCUCUCCUCACAAGAACUCCAUUAGAGCGCCUCCAAGCUUGAGCUCAUCAAAGAGCUCAGAUCAUGUAUGUUGAAAGAGUAGGAAUCCAUUUCAAGUGGAGAGAGGAGCUAAAAUUUUGUGCAUGUAAGCCUUAUUCUAAGAUUUCAAGGUUCCAAGAGGAUAGAGGAGUGGUUCGAAAAGCUCAAGGACCCAAGAGAAACAAAACCUAGAACUUCAAAAGUAAAAAAUCUUGUGUUUUGGUAAUAGUUUAUGUUUAAUCUUCCAAUCUGAGUUUUUGAGAUGCAUGGAAGGUUUUGAUCUCUUUUUUAUGUUGUAAUAAGGUGUUUGAUAGCAUUAUAUGAUGCAUGCAUGUGUUCUAUGUUGAUCUUUUAGUGGAACUCCAAAGUUUUCACAGGAAGUUUAUAAAAAUUUCUUGCUGCCAGAUUUUAUGGGUGACUUCCAACGAGUCAAACCCUAAUUUUAAAAUAUGUUCUCAUAAAAAAGUUUUUACCACUGCUAAAUAUUGG